CAGCCUUUUCGGAUUAUCCAACAAAAAUCUACAACUAAUUAUAUAUAUAUAUAUGUUCACAUAUGGUUUUGUAUCAUAGAAAAACAAAUAGUCUAUUUGGAAAAGAAGAACUACAAUGUCGUCAAUAAAAUUAGCUAUUUUUUGCAUUAUCCUCGUUUCUUUCGUUAGUCUUCAUGAUUGUAUGUCAUCUAAAGGUUUAGUUUUCGUUCAAAUUUUUAUCAUCAUUGUCAUCAUCGUCAUAUCAUCCAUAGUGUUUUAAUUGGUUUGUUCUUUAAUUUUUUUAUAUAGGUUUCGCAAUAAAUUUCAUGCCCUGCAAAAAAGGAGUUGCUGGUGACUGGUGCUGCACUAAAGGAGGGUUAGAAUGCACAAAGGACCACGCAGAAUGUGCGCAAAGCUGCCUUUAACAGGCUAAACCUUAACCAAAUUGUAAUUUUUUUUUAAAAAUAAUUUUUAAUUUUUAAUAAAGAAAAUCUUGCCCUUACUAGCAAGAUGGAGUAUAUAAUUAAACCUAUAAACCAAAUCCAUAGAUAAUUUGGUUAUUUUAAGUGUAUAUGUGUAAAUUUUUAUAUAUUAUUGUGCAAAUGUGAUAUUUUCUUAUCACUUAUCAAAUAGUAUGUUUGUAAUAUUAUAAAGUUACGCAUUAAUGUUUAGGUAUAUUUAAAUAUUUUCUUACGUAUGCUAUGAAUCCUUU
rnacentral:lncRNA from 1 species